rnacentral:misc_RNA from 1 species
UCGAGAACCGACCGAAAGACCACGAACCUGUGAACAGAUUACACUGUGUCUGGCGGGCAUUAUGCCCGCCCUACUAGGGACCUCGCACCGUGUCCGUGGCCGCCCUGAGCAUUCUGAACAUAAUUUGCGGGGGACGGAUGAAACCUCGGCGCGGCCUGCGCCAAGAAACAUAUGACAGGACGGAUGCACGUCAAUGCCUCUGUGGUGGGGCAUCAUCCGCUCUCUAUC